UACAGAGGGGGCAAGCGUUGUUCGGAAUUACUGGGCGUAAAGGGCGCGUAGGCGGCCACCUAAGUCAGACGUGAAAUCCCUCGGCUCAACCGGGGAACUGCGUCUGAUACUGGCAAGCUAGAGUGCGGUAGAGGAUGGUGGAAUUCCCGGUGUAGCGGUGAAAUGCGUAGAGAUCGGGAGGAACACCCGUGGCGAAGGCAGCUCGCUGGGACGGUACUGACGCUGAGGCGCGAAAGCGUGGGGAGCAAACAGGG
rnacentral:rRNA from 1 species